AAUCAACAAAGACUGACCUCGCUUUGUUAUAUAGAGUCUCUCAUAACUAAGGAAGCAUAUAUGAGUUUUCUGAGUCAAGACCUAUAGUAACUGUUUGGGGUUUUGUUAGGUUAGGUUAGGUUAAGUUUAGGGUAUCUUCAAACACAUGAUAGCCAGCACCUUAUGGUAUAAAUCAACAAAGAAUGACCUCACUUUGUUGUAUAGAAAGUCUCAUAACUAAGAAAGCAUAUAUGAGUUUUCUGAGUCAAGACCUAUAGUAACUGUUUGGGGUUUUGUUAGGUUAAGUUUAGGAUAUCUUCAAACACAUGAUAGCCAGCACCUUAUGGUAUAAAUCAACAAAGAAUGACCUCACUUUGUUGUAUAGAAAGUCUCAUAACUAAGGAAGCAUAUACGAGUUUUCUGAGUCAAGACCUAUAGUAACUGUUUGGGGUUUUGUUAGGUUAGGUUAGGUUAAGUUUAGGAUAUCUUCAAACACAAGAUAGCCAGCACCUUAUGGUAUAAAUCAACAAAGAAUGACCUCACUUUGUUGUAUAGAAAGUCUCAUAACUAAGAAAGCAUAUAUGAGUUUUCUGAGUCAAGACCUAUAGUAACUGUUUGGGGUUUUGUUAGGUUAAGUUUAGGGUAUCUUCAAACACAUGAUAGCCAGCACCUUAUGGUAUAAAUCAACAAAGAAUGACCCCACUUUGUUGUAUAGAAAGUCUCAUAACUAAGGAAGCAUAUAUGAGUUUUCUGAGUCAAGACCUAUAGUAACUGUUUGGGGUUUUGUUAGGUUAGGUUAGGUUAAGUUUAGGGUAUCUUCAAACACAUGAUAGCCAGCACCUUAUGGUAUAAAUCAACAAAGAAUGACCUCACUUUGUUGUAUAGAAAGUCUCAUAACUAAGGAAGCAUAUAUGAGUUUUCUGAGUCAAGACCUAUAGUAACUGUUUGGGGUUUUGUUAGGUUAGGU